GAUGAAGAACGUAGCGAAAUGCGAUAAGUAGUGUGAAUUGCAGAAUUCAGUGAAUCAUCGAAUCUUUGAACGCACAUUGCGCCCGCUAGUAUUCUGGCGGGCAUGCCUGUCCGAGCGUCAUUUCAACCCUCAAGCCCCCGGGCUUGGUGUUGGGGAUCGGCGAGCCUCCGCGCCCGCCGUCCCCUAAAUCUAGUGGCGGUCUCGCUGUAGCUUCCUCUGCGUAGUAGCACACCUCGCACUGGGAAACAGCGCGGCCACGCCGUUAAACCCCCAACUUCUGAACGUUUGACCUCGGAUCAGGUAGGAAUACCCGCUGAACUUAAGCAUAUCAGUAAGCGGAGGA
rnacentral:misc_RNA from 1 species